rnacentral:rRNA from 1 species
AACGAACGCUGGCGGCAGGCUUAACACAUGCAAGCCGAACGCACCGCAAGGUGAGUGGCAGACGGGUGAGUAGCACGUGGGGAUCUGCCCAAUGGUACGGAAUAGCUCCGGGAAACUGGAAUUAAUACCGUAUGAGCCCGCAAGGGGAAAGAUUUAUCGCCAUUGGAUGAACCCGCGUCGGAUUAGCUAGUUGGUGUGGUAAAGGCGCACCAAGGCGACGAUCCGUAGCUGGUCUGAGAGGAUGAUCAGCCACACUGGGACUGAGACACGGCCCAGACUCCUACGGGAGGCAGCAGUGGGGAAUAUUGGACAAUGGGCGCAAGCCUGAUCCAGCCAUGCCGCGUGAGUGAUGAAGGCCUUAGGGUUGUAAAGCUCUUUCGCCGACGAAGAUAAUGACGGUAGUCGGAGAAGAAGCCCCGGCUAACUUCGUGCCAGCCGCCGCAGUAACAC